UACGUAGGGACCAAGCGUUGUUCGGAUUUACUGGGCGUAAAGGGCGCGUAGGCGGCGCAAUAAGUCACUUGUGAAAUCUCCGGGCUUAACUCGGAGCGGCCAAGUGAUACUGUUGUGCUAGAGUGCAGAAAGGGCAAUCGGAAUUCUCGGUGUAGCGGUGAAAUGCGUAGAUAUCGAGAGGAACACCUGAGGCGAAGGCGGGUUGCUAGGCUGACACUGACGCUGAUGCGCGAAAGCUAGGGUAGCAAACGGG
rnacentral:rRNA from 1 species